AGCUUUGUGCAGUGGCGGUAUCGUAGCCAAUGGUUUACCCAAGGUGCGAUUAUUGCUAAUAGAAGUCUUCAGUCUGUUGGUUUACUCUCCAAAUGGCCGCUGUGGUUAGAGCUGAGCCAAAGCCAGGAGCCAGGAGUCUUUUCCAGAUCUCCCACAUGGGU
rnacentral:snRNA from 1 species